rnacentral:rRNA from 1 species
AUUGAACGCUGGCGGCAGGCUUAACACAUGCAAGUCGAGCGGAGAUGAGGUGCUUGCACCUUAUCUUAGCGGCGGACGGGUGAGUAAUGCUUAGGAAUCUGCCUAUUAGUGGGGGACAACAUUCCGAAAGGAAUGCUAAUACCGCAUACGCCCUACGGGGGAAAGCAGGGGAUCGUCGGACCUUGCGCUAAUAGAUGAGCGUAAGUCGGAUUAGCUAGUUGGUGGGGUAAAGGCCUACCAAGGCGACGAUCUGUAGCGGGUCUGAGAGGAUGAUCCGCCACACUGGGACUGAGACACGGCCCAGACUCCUACGGGAGGCAGCAGUGGGGAAUAUUGGACAAUGGGCGGAAGCCUGAUCCAGCCAUGCCGCGUGUGUGAAGAAGGCCUUUUGGUUGUAAAGCACUUUAAGCGAGGAGGAGGCUACCUGGAUUAAUACUCUAGGAUAGUGGACGUUACUCGCAGAAUAAGCACCGGCUAACUCUGUGCCAGCCGCCGCGGUAAUAC